CCAGGACAAAAUUCUAUUAGUCAGACUCAGGUCUUACUCGAAAUCCAGCGAGCCUUUUUCUAGCUGUCCCCUCGGCUCUCCCCCAUCAGUACCCACACGCAGGCUCUGAUUUGCUAUCGAAGGUAGACCGUUCCUUCCUUUCUGAAAGCCACACCUGCGGCAGGGGGGCGGUUCUGUAGCCAAGGUAUUUCCCCUUACUUAGCCCCAGCCCCCAUCCUAUGUGAUCAAGAUGGUGAAAACCUUGGGGUUUGGGGUCACUUUUCAACAUUUCGGCCACUUGCGUUUCAGGACUGUGCAUUUAAAAAGCCUUCUCUCUCAUUGACCCUGGAGAGGUCUGGCUGCGCAGUCUUCGGGCUUCUGCUUUUACAUUCGGAUCUUUUUUAUCCUCUUGCUUUCCCUCAAAGUCUGUACGUUCAGGUGACCCACGGGACGGCGAGUUUACAAACCCAGGCUAAGUAACCCGAUUAAAACUCCGUUGUGGGGGACACCGUUUGAAGCUCACUAGCUUGUCUGUGCCAACUUGGAAUUUCAGAAGAGAAAAGUUACUUGUUACUCUGGAAAAAGGCUAUCAGAUUCGUGAUUAUGACAAAGAAUGAAGAUUUGAGUUUGAAUUUUGCCUCAAUUGGGUGUCCCAGACAUGUGGGAAGUCCCAGAGGUGGAUCUUUGUAAGGAAGGAUGGGGACAGGAGUCACCCAGAAUGAGCAGGAAUGAUGAACAGGAGGAUUUUAGAAAGACCUGGAGAGACCCAUGUGAACUGAUGCAGAAUGAAAUAAGCAGAACCAGGAGAUCAUUCUACACAGUAACUGCAAUAUUGAAGAAUAAUCAAAUGUGAUAGAUUUUGCUACUAACAGCAAUACAAUGAUCAGGACCAUUCUGAGAACUUACGAAAAAAGAAUGCUAUCCACCUACAGAGAACGAACCGUUGGAGUAGAAAUGCAGAUGAAAACAUGAGUUAUCAUUUGUUUAUUUGGCAUAUGCUUUGGUGUUUAGGUUCUAUAAGAUUAUUUGCUUACAAAAAUGAAUAAUAUGGAAAUAUGUUUUGCAUGAUAAUGCAUGUAUAACCCAGAUUGAAUUGUCAGCUGGGGAAGGGGGAGGAGAAGGAAGAAGGGAAGGAAACAAUAUGGAUCAUAUGACAUUGGAAUACUUCUGUGGAAAUCUGUU
rnacentral:lncRNA from 1 species